UUGAAACAGCAGAGCAACAUCAAAAUUUUUUAAAACCCCAUAGAGCCACAAGUCUCAGCUUGUCUGUGUGCGUCUUCUAUUACAAACCCCAAGAGAAAAAUGGCGGCAAUUAGAACCACCACAAGCAUGAUCCUCAAGGAGAUGUUCAGUAACAGGCUACCAUCGUCGUCUUCUUCCUUGGCUACAUCGACCUCGACCUGUUUAUCGCUUCCCAACUUACAUGGAACCGCCCUGACAUUUACGCGCCGCCAAUUCAGCUUCAGCAGGAUUCUAUGCGCCGCGUCCGAUGAAAAAAAGGUGUCGGCCCGGUUGUCUCAGAUUAAUCACCUCCUGCAAGAAGCUGAGGAGCGAGCCAGCUCUGCUGGGAGUGAGCCGCCUCCAAAAAUUACUCUUGACCAUGUCACAGUGAAUUUUGCUAGAAGUGGUGGACCUGGAGGUCAGAAUGUGAAUAAAGUGAACACCAAGGUGGACAUGCGCUUCAAUGUCAAAGAUGCAUACUGGCUAAGUGACAGGAUAAGGGAGAGGAUUAUGCAAAUGGAAAAGAAUCGAAUAAACAAGGAUGGUGAGCUUGUGAUUUCUUCAACAAAGACUAGAACCCAGAAGGGUAACAUUGAAGAUGCUUUAUCAAAGCUGCAGGCUAUCAUUGAUGCUGCUUCUUAUGUCCCUCCUCCACCUUCAGAAGAGCAAAAGAAGAAAAUUGCCAAAAUCUGCUUCUUUUUUAUAAUGCAAUGGAUUUCUGAGUUGAGUAGAUUGUCAAGGUAAUACGCAUGAACUUCAAAAUUUUCAUGUUUAUAAAGGGCUGCUAUAGGGGAGCAGAAACGACUUAAAAGUAAGAAGGCUCUUUCAGACAAGAAGGCUUUUAGAAGAAGUAGGGACAGCUGGGACUAACUUUUCACAUGGGUAACUGAAUAAUAUCUGCUAUACUUUGACAAGAAAAUCCAUUCAACAAGUACGUAGUGAUGGGAUCAAACUGCACGGUGAAGAGUGAAGACACCUUCAGAGGGGGAGACUAAAUGGAAAGUGCUUUUGUACCUUUGACCUUAUUACUGUCAUUUUUUCAACACUAAAUCAAUAGUUAUCUAUUUAGAUUUGUAUUCAUUAUUAGGCUUAUAAACAAAUGUGAUGUUCACGCUAAAAUUUUUACAGGUGGAGACUUGAGAGUUCCAUUUGUUAAAAAGUUGCGUACUACUUGAAAAUUGGUCAAUCACGGCUUUCAUGGCCUUAGUUUUAUCUGUUCGAAUACAAAUUUGAUUGUGCAGCAUUUGCUGUGCAAUAUUUCACUGUA